rnacentral:ncRNA from 1 species
UCUUAUCAAGAGUGGCAGAGGGACUGGCCCUAUGAAGCCACAGCAACCUGCAUUUAUGCAAGGUGCUAAUUCCUGCGGUUAAUCCGAGUGAUGAG